AACACAAACAGACACAGACUGUCUGAACCAUCACGAACACAGAACCAGUUUUAAACCGCAGGUGGACAAAGUCAUAUGUUUAACUAAUAGAUGUCACCAUACUUCAUUAAUUGAUAAAUCACAGAACAUUAAGAUAAUCUCUGAAAUGGGGGGUGAAAUGCUAUUUCAUGCAUACUGAGUUUUUUACACUGUUAAAGAGUUGGAUUCCCAUGCUAAACAUAGACAAAGUUUCAAAAAUUAAGUUGUACGUUUGAAGGAGUAUUUUUGUUCCAAAAAUACUCCUUCCGGUUUGUCACAAGUUUCGGAAAGUUUUUUUUGAGUAUGGGUCUGUGU